GUGCUUACUUCAGCAGCACACAUACUAAAAAAUUGGAAGGAUACAGAGAAGAUUAGCAUGACCCCUGCUCAAGGAUGAAAUACACAUUUUUUGAAAUGUUCCAUAUUUUU